rnacentral:tRNA from 1 species
CACUAAGAAGCUAUGAACCAGCACUAGCCUUUUAAGCUAGAGAAAGAGGAAUCCUCCCCUCCUUAGUGA